UGCAAGUCGAACGAACUCUGGUAUUGAUUGGUGCUUGCAUCAUGAUUUACAUUUGAGUGAGUGGCGAACUGGUGAGUAACACGUGGGAAACCUGCCCAGAAGCGGGGGAUAACACCUGGAAACAGAUGCUAAUACCGCAUAACAACUUGGACCGCAUGGUCCGAGCUUGAAAGAUGGCUUCGGCUAUCACUUUUGGAUGGUCCCGCGGCGUAUUAGCUAGAUGGUGGGGUAACGGCUCACCAUGGCAAUGAUACGUAGCCGACCUGAGAGGGUAAUCGGCCACAUUGGGACUGAGACACGGCCCAAACUCCUACGGGAGGCAGCAGUAGGGAAUCUUCCACAAUGGACGAAAGUCUGAUGGAGCAACGCCGCGUGAGUGAAGAAGGGUUUCGGCUCGUAAAACUCUGUUGUUAAAGAAGAACAUAUCUGAGAGUAACUGUUCAGGUAUUGACGGUAUUUAACCAGAAAGCCACGGCUAACUACGUGCCAGCAGCCGCGGUAAUACGUAGGUGGCAAGCGUUGUCCGGAUUUAUUGGGCGUAAAGCGAGCGCAGGCGGUUUUUUAAGUCUGAUGUGAAAGCCUUCGGCUCAACCGAAGAAGUGCAUCGGAAACUGGGAAACUUGAGUGCAGAAGAGGACAGUGGAACUCCAUGUGUAGCGGUGAAAUGCGUAGAUAUAUGGAAGAACACCAGUGGCGAAGGCGGCUGUCUGGUCUGUAACUGACGCUGAGGCUCGAAAGUAUGGGUAGCAAACAGGAUUAGAUACCCUGGUAGUCCAUACCGUAAACGAUGAAUGCUAAGUGUUGGAGGGUUUCCGCCCUUCAGUGCUGCAGCUAACGCAUUAAGCAUUCCGCCUGGGGAGUACGGCCGCAAGGCUGAAACUCAAAGGAAUUGACGGGGGCCCGCACAAGCGGUGGAGCAUGUGGUUUAAUUCGAAGCUACGCGAAGAACCUUACCAGGUCUUGACAUACUAUGCAAAUCUAAGAGAUUAGACGUUCCCUUCGGGGACAUGGAUACAGGUGGUGCAUGGUUGUCGUCAGCUCGUGUCGUGAGAUGUUGGGUUAAGUCCCGCAACGAGCGCAACCCUUAUUAUCAGUUGCCAGCAUUAAGUUGGGCACUCUGGUGAGACUGCCGGUGACAAACCGGAGGAAGGUGGGGAUGACGUCAAAUCAUCAUGCCCCUUAUGACCUGGGCUACACACGUGCUACAAUGGAUGGUACAACGAGUUGCGAACUCGCGAGAGUAAGCUAAUCUCUUAAAGCCAUUCUCAGUUCGGAUUGUAGGCUGCAACUCGCCUACAUGAAGUCGGAAUCGCUAGUAAUCGCGGAUCAGCAUGCCGCGGUGAAUACGUUCCCGGGCCUUGUACACACCGCCCGUCACACCAUGAGAGUUUGUAACACCCAAAGUCG
rnacentral:rRNA from 2 species